ACAUAAAGCAUUUUUCAGCGUUGGGCAUUGAUAAUUAACGAUGAGCAGCACUGGUAUUCCAAGUCAAAAAUUCCAAGCUUCUUCCCCUUUAUUCAUUCUUUCACUGGUAUUGGAAUAUAGCAGUGGACAAAACCACACUGUCUCUGCCCUCAUGGUCACAGAGAAAGACCUUAAUCAAACAAGCACGUGAAUAGGUGUGAAAUUACAGCUGCACAAGCACCAUUAAGGAGAGGCACAGAUGCCGCAGGAGCGUGUGAUUAAAGGAUUUGGCUCAGUGAGGUCAGAGAUGGCCAUGCAGCAGAAGUGAUGCUUGAGCUGAGCCCCAAGGACGGGAGGAGAUAAUAACUAGUUGAUAAAGGGCAUCACUGACAGGAAACAGCAUGUGCAAAGGCCCUGUGGUGGGGAGGGGAAGUGUGGUACGCGUAAGGAACUGAAAGAAGGUCUGUGUGGCACUGUGCUUCCCUGCUCUGCUCCCUACCUCAGAGGCCCCCAAAGCCUUCUUGUGCCUUCUGCCUGCUCACUGGUUGUGUCUGUAGACACAGGGUACAGUUGGGGUGGAAUUUGGGGACAGGACGGCUUGAAUGAAUGGUGCUGUCUUGCAGACUCAGCCUCAGGGGUUCCGGGGUAGGUGGAUGUGGCCACAUGACCUGAGUUUCUGCAGGCACUGGCUCAGGGGCAGGAGGGUUGGGGGUGGAGAGGGUGGGCACCGUCCCCCGGCAGCUGCCCUUGCCAUGACAUCCUUCCCUGGGGCCAGGUGAAGAAGAUGGGUGAGCUGGGGCUCAUGGCCAUGGAUGUGCCCGAGGAGUUUGGCGGUGCGGGCCUCGAUUACCUGGCCUAUGCCAUCGCCAUGGAGGAGAUCAGCCGGGGCUGCGCCUCCGCUGGAGUCAUCAUGAGCGUCAACAACUCCCUCUACUUGGGGCCUAUCCUGAAGUUCGGCUCCAAGGAGCAGAAGAGGCAGUGGGUCACCCCUUUCACCAGCGGCGACAAAAUUGGCUGCUUUGCCCUCAGUGAACCAGGGAACGGCAGCGACGCGGGGGCCGCCGCCACCACUGCCUGGGCAGACGGUGACUCAUGGGUCCUGAGUGGCACCAAAGCCUGGAUCACCAACUCCUGGGAGGCCUCGGCCGCCGUGGUCUUCGCUAGCACGGACAGAUCCUUGCAGAACAAGGGCAUCAGUGCCUUCCUGGUUCCCAUGCCAACGCCUGGGCUCACGCUAGGGAAGAAGGAAGAUAAGCUGGGCAUCCGGGCCUCAUCCACUGCCAACCUCAUCUUCGAGGACUGUCGCAUCCCCAAGGACAACCUGCUGGGGGAACCGGGGAUGGGCUUCAAGAUUGCCAUGCAAACCCUAGACAUGGGCCGUGUCGGCAUCGCCUCCCAGGCCCUGGGCAUUGCCCAGGCUGCCCUCGACUGUGCUGUGAACUACGCCGAGAACCGCAUGGCCUUCGGGGCGCCCCUCACCAAGCUGCAGGUCAUCCAGUUCAAGUUGGCGGACAUGGCCCUGGCCCUGGAGAGUGCCCGGCUGCUGACCUGGCGCGCUGCGGUGCUGAAGGAUAACAAGAGGCCUUUCAUCAAGGAGGCAGCAAUGGCCAAGCUGGCUGCAUCGGAGGCCGCAACUGCCAUCACCCACCAGGCCAUGCAGAUCCUGGGUGGCAUGGGCUACGUGACAGAGAUGCCCGCCGAGCGGCACUACCGUGACGCUCGCAUCACGGAGAUUUAUGAAGGCACCAGCGAGAUCCAGAGGCUGGUGAUCGCCGGGCACCUGCUCAGGAGCUACCGGAGCUGAACCCUCGCAUGUGGGAUCUUAGUUCCCGGACCAGGGAUUGAAUCUGUGCCCCCUGCAGUGGAAGCAUGGAGUCUCAACCACUGGACUGCCAGGGAAGUCCCCUUGUAAGUUUAUUUUUAUAUCUAAAAGAUUUUAAGGAUAAUUACAAGCACAAGCAUAUACAAGAUUAAAAAAUCUGACAAUGUCAAUUAUAUAGUUGAUUAAAGCAAUGAUUAGGGAAAUCAUGAGCAAAAUUUAUCCUUGCACAUCCCAAAACAUAAAUUUCUGAAUAACCCUUUUUUCCCCUCAGAUUCCUAUUUUCUGCUGAUUUCUUUCAGUAUCAAGUAUGAUGCUUGUUUUAUUUUUUGUAGGUGCCCUUUAUCAAACAACGACAUUCCUUUCUAUUGCUAAUUUGCUGAAAGUUUUUUAUAAUGAAUGGAUAUUGUAUUUUGUUAAAUGCCUUUUGUGCAUUUGCUUUUUUCUUUUUUAGUCUGUUGAUAUGAAUGAUUGAUCUUUGAAUGUUAAACCAAACUUGCAUUCGUGGAAAAAACUCCACUUGAUCAUGAUAUAUUAUCCUUUUUGUAUGUUUUUGGAUUCAAUUUGCUAAAAUUUUGUUAGGAAUUUUUAUGUCUGUGUUCAUGGGGGAUACUGGUCUGUAGUUUUCUUUUCUUUUUUUUUUUUUUAAUAUUUAUUUAUUUAUUUUGGCUGUGCCGGGUCUUAGUUGCCGCCUGUGGGAUCUAGUUCCCCGACCAGGGAUUGAACCUGGGCCCCUUGCAUUAGGAGCAUGGAGUCUUACCCACUGGACCACCAGUAUGACAAUCUCUAGGUCCAUCCAUGUUGCUGCAAAUGUAUAAAAGUUGAUUUAAAAAUCUUGAGUGUUGGGCUUUCCUGGUUGUGCAGCGGUUAAGAAUCUGCCUGCCAACACAGGGGACACGGUUUUCGAGCCCUGGUCCGGGAAGAUCCCACAUGCCACAGAGCAACUAAGCCCGUCCGCCACAACUACUGAGCCUGCGCUCUAGAGCCUGUGUGCCACAACUACUGAAGCCCGCACGCCUACAGCCCGUGCUCCGCAACAAGAGAAGCCACUGCAAUGAGAAGCCUACACACCGCAACGAAGAGUAGCCCCCGCUCGCCGCAACUAGAGAAAGCCUGCAUGCAGCAACGAAGACCCAACGCAGCCAACUAAAAAAAAAUUUUGAGUGUUAACAUCUGGAUCAUCUCAAAGUCAGUUUUCAUUAAUCGCUUUUUCUCUCGUGUAUUGAUCAUUCUCUUGCUUUUUCGUAUGUACAGUAAUUUUGAAUUACAUCCUGGAUAUUGUCAAUAAUACACUUUAGAAAUUCUGAUGAAUAUUUUUCAAGUAGGCAGUUAACGACUGAACUCAGACUUAAAACUCGGGUUCCUCUUUGGUGAGCAGCAGCCGAUACGUCUCUUUAGUUCUUUUAGCUGGCUGCUUGGAGUCUAUAUUUAGGGAUCAUAGAGUUGGCCAUGUGGGGCUCCCUCUCUUGUUUCUGGGAUUUACUCCCUCACAGUGCUGGGAUCAUUUCGAACCCUUUCCUUUGGCUGGUUAUUAAAGCCAGGUUUCUAUAUGUUUUAACUACCCCACAGAGUGCCACCUGGGGCCUGUUAUCAGGCAAAAAGCCGUAAGAGUGGGAACUCACCCAGUGCCAUUCAUUUCCAACUGUCAGCUCCCCUCCAGUUUCUCCUCAGUUUGGUUGCUCUACACUGCCUUAAGGUUGCUUUCUACAUUUUGUUGAGAAUUUAUAGCUGUCAUUUGUGGGAGGGUUGGAUGGAAUAGGAGUUCUUCCAUCAUUAGCAGAAGCAGAACCUUCUCCAUUGCUUUUCAAAAGAUAUUGUCUGUAUUUCAUCUAUAUUUUAAAGUUAUUUUUAGCAGGAUUGGUUUGAAUUACAGUCCACCAUUAUUGGAGAUCAGAACAGCAGCUGACAUUUGUUUUCAUUCGUUUUUUUUUUUUUUUUGUGGUAUGAGGGCCUCCCUCUGCUGUGGCCUCUCCCGUUGCGGAGGACGGGCUCCGGACGCGCAGGCUCAGCGGCCAUGGCUCACGGGCCCAGCCGCUCCGCGGCACGUGGGAUCCUCCCGGACCGGGGCGCGAACCCGGUUCCCCUGCAUUGGCAGGCGGACGCGCAACCGCUGCGCCACCAGGGAAGCCCUUCAUUCGUUUUUAUGGUUUGUUGUUUUAAUGACAGCGAUGGGGGACUUAUCCUUUUAACAAACACUGAAGUCUGUUUGGUUGUGGCUUGCUAGGAGGCAUGUGUCCUCAUCCCUGUGUGAGACAGUACCCUAUUUCAGUGAGUAGUAGUCCAUGCUGCUACAGCAUUACUGGGAGGGAGGUCUGCACACCCCUCUGGGCAGCAGCUGGGUCACGUAGGGCUCAGGCAACCAAACUCCAGCUCUUCCCUGCCUCCUGAUAGGGUCAGUGGUCCCCCACUUCCAAUAGGAAGCUGUUUGCACAGUCCUUCUCUGUUUACAGAAACUUCCCUGCUUUUGUUUAAGCCAAAAAAAAAACCUUCUGAGAUUACCUUCUGAGAAUGAACUCAGGCUCUGGAGGCAGGAAGACCUGGGGCAACUUGAAACUCCUGGUCUGUAACACUGGUAAUAAAAUCUGCCCUGCCUAUAUUGUAUCAUGAGAUUUUACUACAAGUCUGAGAUGAUGACUGACCACCAUUCUGGCCCACAAUGUGGAACAUACGCUGGACUUGGGAAGAACAGGGCAGAGGUGGCUGUAACAGUCCUUGUCUCCUCUGGGUAGUGGUUGGAUUGAAAGCGUUUUGGAGUGAGGCAUUGGCCACUGAGCCAGCAGUAUUUAACGACCCAGCUGUAUUUUCUGAGGGUAGGGGCUAUCAGCAGUUCUGUGAUGGGGAGAAAUAAAGUGGUUAAGGUCACAGGCCAGUGUCUGUUUAGGGCUUAUUCUGCCACUUACCAGGUGGUGAUCUCAGGGGCUGGGUGAGUUCCUCUGUAAAACUGGUGAUAGCAGCACCUACCUCAGGGGAUUCUUGUGGGCUGUCACUGAUGUGCGGUGCGGGGCUCUCAUUUGCAGUAGCUCUCUCCAUCAGACUUCCCCGUGUUUGAUUUGACCCCGUCCUAGGCCUCAGGGCUCUCUUUGGAUCAUGGUUAGGUUCCCUCUCCUUGCUUCACAUCCUCCUCAAAUUUGCUAAGCCUCGAAGUUGUGUCCUCAGCCAAAUUAUCAAGAGACAUGUUGGGCAGGGCAGGGCUGAGGAAAAAGGCAAGGACCUUUGGGAUAAUAGGGUCAUUCAACUAGUUAUUAAUCUACUUCAUCAAUGAUAUUUUGAUGCCCCAAUUUCCCCACCUUGACCCAGAGGAUAGAGAAUCUUCCAAAUGGUUUGUUGAAGUCUUUUAAGAGUAGACUUCAGGAGAAAAAACAGUCUGUUCAAUAAGUGAUGCUGGGAAAACUGGACAGCUACAAGUAAAAGAAUGAAAUGAGAACACUCCCUAACACCAUACACAAAAAUAAACUCAGAAUGACACAACAUUGUAAAACAACUAUACCUCAAUAUAAAUAAACUCAAAAUGGAUUGAAGACCUAAAUGUAAGGCCAGAUACUAUAAAACUCUUAAGAGGAAAACAGGCAGAACACUCUUUGACAUAAAUCACAGAAAGAUCUUUUUUGAUCCACCACCUAGAGUAAUAAAAAUAAAAACAAAAAUAAACAAAUGGGGCAUAAUUAAACUUAAAAGCUUUUGCACAGCAAAGAAAACCAUAAACAAAAUGAAAAGACAACCCUCAGACUUGGAGAAAAUAUUUGUAAACGAAGCAACUGACAUGGGAUUAAUCUCCAAAAUAUACAAACAGCUCAUGCAGCUCAUUAUCAAAAAAACAAACACCACAAUCAAAAACUGGGUGGUAGACCUAAGUAUACAUUUCUCCAAAGACGACAUACAGAUGGGCCAAUAAAACACAUGAAAAGAUGCUCAACAUCACUAAUUAUUAGAGAAAGGCAAAUCAAAUAAUGAGGUAUUCACACCAGUCAGAAUGGCCAUCAUUAAAAAAUCUACAAACAAUAAUGCUGGAGAGGGUGUGCAGAAAAGGGAACCCUCUUGCACUGUUGGUGGGAAUGUAAAUUGAUACAGCCACUAUGGAGAACAGUAUGGAGGUUCCUUAAAAAACUAAAAAUAGAGCUACCAUAUGACCCAGCAAUCCCACUCCUGGGCAUAUAUCUGCAGAAAACCAUAAUUCAAAAAGAUGCAUGCACCCCGCUGUUCAUUGCAGCACUAUUUACAAUAGCCAAGUCAUGGAAGCAACCUAGAUGUCCAUCGACCGAGGAAUGGAUGAAGAUGUGAUGCAUAUAUAAAUGGAAUAUCACUCAGCCAUAAAAAGGAACGAAAUAAGGCCAUUUGCAGUGACAUGGAUGGAUGGACCCAGAGAUUGUCAUACAGAGUGAAGUAAGUCAGAAAGAGAAAGACAAAUACCAUAUAAUGUUGCUUAUAUGUGGAAUCUAGAAAAAUGGUACAGAUGAACUUAUUUGCAGAGAAACAGAGUCACAGAUGUAGAAAACAAACUUACCAAGGGGGGAAGAGGGGAUGGGAUGAAUUGGGACAUUGGGACUGACAUAUACACACUACUAUACAUAAAAUAGAUAAUAAGGACCUGCUGUAGAGCACAGGGAACUCUACUCAGUGCUCUGUGGUGACCUAAAUGGGAAGGAAAUCUACAAAAGAGUGGAUAUAUGUUUAACUGAUUCACUUUGCUGUACAGCAGAAACUAAUACAACAUUGUAAAGCAACUAUACGCCAGUAAAAAUUAAGAAAAACAAAGAGUAGCCUUCACCCUCUACCUAGUCUGGCUCCUGUUCCUCUCCUGCCUUAUGGGCUGACUAGAGCCAAGAGGCUUAGAAAGACGCUGCUCUUUAUGUGAAAACAGGCUGGGAGUUUGGCCCAUUGAGUCUUUUGUUCCAAGUAUGUUCAAGACAAGCCUUGAGAUUUGAGAAUACAGGUCCACCGUGACUGACCGGGUAGCUUUACAGUGUAGCAGUUACCUUUUCCCUCAAAACAAGCAGCAGAGCUGUAAAGUACAAUAAAGUAAAAGAGGGCAUAGGAAGCGUUUAUUAUGAAAAAGAAAAUCAACGGUAUAGAAAAAUAAAAAUGUCAACAUUGGACCAAUGAAAGGUCAACGUUGGUUUGUUUGCAGAAUCUGGUUAGAGAUUGAUACUCUUGGCUUUAAGCAGCCAAAAUGGUAAGGAUCCGUUAGGCAGACUCUGUCCCAGCUGAGCUACUGCAAGAACAAGUCCAGGACCCUUUGCAGGCCCCCUCUGUGCUCUGUAGCCAGGACCCUUCAUGCUUCUGUUGCGAGCCUCCUGCUCGGACUGGGCUGCAAAAUGAUCAAGGCCUAAGCUGACCUCCUAAGGAAUGGCUCCUAAGGGCCACUCCUGAAACCUGACCAGGGUGACCGGCUGGGCCCUUCCCCAGAGGAGCUGUGGCAGCGGGGGGACUGCCCAGACACCCUAGGACACGCAGACCUGGACCACCUCUACUCAGGCUCACUCAUCCCCGCCCCCCGCUCCUUGUGCCAAGUCCUUCAGCGUGUCCAGGAAAACGUCAAGAUCCUGGACUGGCCCAGGAUGAUGGUAGAGACCCUAUUAUCUAUCCAGCAGCCACUCAAUUUUGAAAGCCUAGACUAGACUAGGAUUGAAGAGCCUUCACCCCUCAACAGUGGAAGGAUAACCAGUUUCCUCAGUGAUGAACUGAAAGUAUUACAGAAGCUGUGGUCAUUUGAAUAAAGAAAGUGUGUGUAUCUGUUUAAGUCUGAUUUUUUAAAUUGUAUUUUAACUCCAUGAAGACUGGUAAAUUGUGGAGUACACGAAAACUCAGUAAACCUGAACAGUGCCUAAUAUUCACUUAAUACUUUAACUAAGGCACACCUUUAUUCCCAUUCCAGAUCGGGAAACUAAGGCUCAGAGGGACUCUGUCACCAAGGCAAGGUCCCGUGUGGCCGUGAGGGAUGUGUGCUGGCGGGUGCCUCGACGCACAGGACCUUGUGGGAGCCAUUCUCUUACCUCUCACUGUUGAGAACAGCUUGUAUAUUCAUUCCCUAAGGCUUUAAAUACCAUUUCUAUGCCUUCAUCCCAACUUUUUAGCUUUAGUUACUCUACUGGCUAGAACAGGACUCACUCUCUUUUCCUUAUCUCAGUUUUGGCAAUUAAUUGUUCAGGUCAGAAGCCAGAGUCAUCUAAUCGCCACAUUCUGCAUCCAAUGUGGCACCAAGUUCUGUCUGUUCUUCCCACCCCCCCUAGCCCGGGGAAGCUCUCACGGGAAGGCCUGUUGGCAAAACAGCUCAGUGAAGACCACAGUGAAGGCCAGAUGGAGGCAGGGAGACCCAGCAGGUGACAUCCAAUGGCACAGGCCCCGAAAACACCAGUGGCUGCUGAACGGGCCAGGGCAGUGGGAGGUGGUAGCGGGGUGCGUUAGGGUGU